rnacentral:rRNA from 1 species
UACGUAGGGUGCAAGCGUUGUCCGGAAUUAUUGGGCGUAAAGAGCUCGUAGGCGGUUCGUCGCGUCGGCUGUGAAAACCUGAGGCUCAACCUCAGGCCUGCAGUCGAUACGGGCGGACUUGAGUACUGCAGGGGAGACUGGAAUUCCUGGUGUAGCGGUGAAAUGCGCAGAUAUCAGGAGGAACACCGGUGGCGAAGGCGGCCAACUGGACGAAUACUGACGCUGAGACUCGAAAGCGUGGGGAGCGAACAGG